AACGAACGCUGGCGGCAUGCCUAACACAUGCAAGUCGAACGAAGCCUUCGGGCUUAGUGGCGCACGGGUGCGUAACACGUGGGAAUCUGCCCUUCGGUUCGGAAUAACAGUUAGAAAUGACUGCUAAUACCGGAUGAUGACGUAAGUCCAAAGAUUUAUCGCCGAAGGAUGAGCCCGCGUAGGAUUAGGUAGUUGGUAGGGUAAUGGCCUACCAAGCCGACGAUCCUUAGCUGGUCUGAGAGGAUGAUCAGCCACACUGGGACUGAGACACGGCCCAGACUCCUACGGGAGGCAGCAGUGGGGAAUAUUGGACAAUGGGCGAAAGCCUGAUCCAGCAAUGCCGCGUGAGUGAUGAAGGCCUUAGGGUUGUAAAGCUCUUUUACCAGGGAUGAUAAUGACAGUACCUGGAGAAUAAGACUCCGGCUAACUCCGUGCCAGCAG
rnacentral:rRNA from 1 species